rnacentral:misc_RNA from 1 species
GUGAAUCAUCAAAUUUUUGAACGCAAAUUGCACUCCCUGGUAUUCCGGGGAGUAUGCCUGUUUGAGGGUCGUUAGAAUAAAAAAUCGAGGCGUCGCUCUUUUUUUUAAGGUUAUUGGCGUCGGAAUUGAGUCGUCUUUAAAUUUUAAUGCAUGUCAAAUUGGCUUAAAAUUGAAUCCAUCCGUUACGAUUAAAGCGGAUUUAAGAGCAAGCUUGAUUAAGAACGCGCGAUGAG